GGGGAUUUAGCUCAGUGGUAGAGCGCUUGCCUAGGAAGCGCAAAACCCUGGGUUCGGUCCCCAGCUCCG
rfam:Rattus norvegicus chromosome 3, whole genome shotgun sequence.